GCAAGAUCAGAUGUCGUUGUGAAAUCCGUCGAAGAUUAGCACUCGGCGACUACAGCUCUAAAUUAGAUCGAAAUAGCAUGGGACCACGAAGAUCAAGUGAGUUCCAUCCAGAGGUCCCAAGAGUGAGACGUGACGGUUCUUAUAUAUACGAGUAGUUUAUGCCAACUGGAGGAACAGAUGUUAAGGUGUAUACAGUUGGUGCAGAGUAUGCACACGCUGAGGCAAGAAAAUCUCCGGUUGUUGAUAGUGUCGUGAUGUGAAAUCCAGAUGGCAAAGUAAGU
rnacentral:lncRNA from 1 species